rnacentral:ncRNA from 17 species
AAAAAUCAUACUCUCCGAGCCAGGUAACCUAAAGCUCGACGCCAUGGUACCUGGCCGGCAGGGUGUACCGGGAAACCGGUGUGCCUUCCAUUGCGAAAAGGAGAGCUGGAUUUGGGACC